rnacentral:rRNA from 1 species
CCUACGGGUGGCAGCAGUGAGGAAUAUUGGUCAAUGGGCGCGAGCCUGAACCAGCCAAGUCGCGUGAGGGAAGACGGUCCUAUGGAUUGUAAACCUCUUUUGUCGGGGAGCAAAAGACGCCACGCGUGGCGUUCCGCGAGUACCCGAAGAAAAAGCAUCGGCUAACUCCGGGCCAGCAGCCGCGGUAAUACGGAGGAUGCGAGCGUUAGCCGGAUUUAUUGGGUUUAAAGGGUGCGCAGGCGGAAGAUCAAGUCAGCGGUAAAAUUGAGAGGCUCAACCUCGUCGAGCCGUUGAAACUGGUUUUCUUGAGUGAGUGAGAAGUAUGCGGAAUGCGUGGUGUAGCGGUGACAUGCAUAGAUAUCACGCAGAACUCCGAUUGCGAAGGCAGCAUACCGGCGCUCAACUGACGCUCAUGCACGAAAGUGUGGGUAUCGAACAGGAUUAGAUACCCGGGUAGUC